rnacentral:rRNA from 1 species
AGAUUGAACGCUGGCGGCAGGCCUAACACAUGCAAGUCGAGCGGUAGAGAGGUGCUUGCAUCUCUUGAGAGCGGCGGACGGGUGAGUAAUGCCUAGGAAUCUGCCUAGUGGUGGGGGAUAACGUUCGGAAACGGACGCUAAUACCGCAUACGUCCUACGGGAGAAAGCGGGGGACCUUCGGGCCUCGCGCCAUUAGAUGAGCCUAGGUCGGAUUAGCUAGUUGGUGAGGUAAUGGCUCACCAAAGGCGACGAUCCGUAACUGGUCUGAGAGGAUGAUCAGUCACACUGGAACUGAGACACGGUCCAGACUCCUACGGGAGGCAGCAGUGGGGAAUAUUGGACAAUGGGCGAAAGCCUGAUCCAGCCAUGCCGCGUGUGUGAAGAAGGUCUUCGAUUGAAAGCAACUUUAAGUUGGAGAAGGUUGUAACCUAAUACGUUGCAACUUUGACGUUACGACAGAAUAAGCACGGCUAACGUUCGACGCCAGCAGCCGUACG